rnacentral:misc_RNA from 1 species
GAUGAAGAACGUAGCGAAAUGCGAUACUUGGUGUGAAUUGCAGAAUCCCGUGAACCAUCGAGUCUUUGAACGCAAGUUGCGCCCGAAGCCAUUAGGCCGAGGGCACGCCUGCCUGGGCGUCACACGUCGUUGCCCCCCCAUCUACUCCUUCGGGAUUGCGGGGGGCGGAUGAUGGCCUCCCGUGCGCCUCGUCGCGCGGUUGGCAUAAAUGCCAAGUCCUCGGCGACGCACGCCACGUCAAUCGGUGGUUGCGAAACCUCGGUUGCCCGUCGUGUGCGGUCGUCGCGCAUCGAGGGCUCGAAAAAAUUGCCGGGCUCCGGCUCGGCUUUCAACGCGACCCCAGGUCAGGCGGGGUUACCCGCUGAAUUUAAGCAUAUCAAUAAGCGGAGGA